rnacentral:lncRNA from 1 species
UUUUUUUUUAAAUAUUUAUUUAUUUAUUUAUUUAUUUAUUUAUUUAUUUAUUUAUUUAUGAUAAACACACACACACAGAAAGAGAGAGAGAGAGAGAGAGGCAGAGGGAGAAGCAGGCUCCAUGCCGGGAGCCCGACGUGAGACUCAAUCCCGGGACUCCAGGAUCACGCCCUGGGCCAAAGGCAGGCGUCAAACUGCUGAGCCACCCAGGGAUCCCCGACAACAGAUUUUUCUCUUGGGGCAGUUCGGUGCUUCCUUGCCACUCAUUCAUUCUCCCAUUUAUUUAACAUUUAUAGAAGGCCUACUGUAUGCAAACACUGUGCUGGCAUUGGCAGUGCAAAAGGGAGCAAAAAAUGACUUGGUUACUGUCCUUGUGUUGCUCAGAGUCUAUUAGGAAAGGCAGAUAUUAACCCAAAUGUAAGGAAUAGGUGCAAACUUAGGCCUGUGACAAGUGCUGGGGUGGAGGCACAUGUUGCCCCAAGAGCAUGAAUUCUGCUCAUCAGUAGUCACGGAGGCUGGGACAGUCGUGACCAAGCUGAGAUGAGAAUGAAGAGCAGCCAUUGAUUGACCAGGUGAAGAAGGAACAAAAGCAACUUGCAGGCCAAGUGCCUGUUGUAAGACAAACAUACCCAUGGGAAGAGCUGAAUGUGGCAGGUGUGACUGCAGACGGGUAAAGCACCAGGAAAGACACGUAAGAGGAUGAGGCUAGAGAGGUAGGUGGGGGGCUCACAGGCACUGGGUCUUUUUCUUAGCUGAAAUAGAAAACCACUGAAGGGUACUGAGUAGGCAAGGUGGCACGAGAUAAGUCUUAGUGCUUGACCACACCUGCCUCUUCCAGGAGGGAAACGGGAUGGAUGUUGACCAGACUUUGUGCUGAUCACUUGGAAACACAGACAUAUAUUGAACCAUUAGGUUGUAUGCCUGAAACUAACAUGAUGUUCUUUUUUUUUUUUUAAAGAUUUUAUUUAUUUAUUCAAAGAGACACAGAGAGGCAGAGACACAGGCAGAGGGAGAAGCAGGCUCCAUGCAGAGAGCCCAACAUGGGACUCGAUCCAGGGUCUCCAGGAUCACGCCCUGGGCUGCAGGCGGCACUAAACCACUGCGCCACCAGGGCUGCCCCUCACAUGAUGUUCUACGUCAAGGUCUAUCAAUUUAAAAAAUCAGAUGAGGAGCGCCUGAGUGGCUCAAUCGGUUAAGUGUCUGACUUUUUUUUUUAAUAUUUUAAUUAUUCAUAAGAGACAGAGAGAGAGAGAAGUAGAGACAUAGGCAGAGAGAGAAGCAGGCUCCACGCAGGGAGCCCAAUAUGGAACUCUAUCCCGGGUCUCCAGGAUCACACCCUGGGCUGAAGGCAGGCACUAAACCGCUGAGCCAUCCAGGGAUCCCAAGUGUCUGACUCUUGAUCUCAGCUCAGGUCUUGAUCUUAGGGUCGUAAGUUCAAGCCCCAUGUUAGGAUCCAUGCUGGGUGUGGAACUUACUUAAAAAACAAACCAGCAAUGAUGAUAGUGGCGGUGAUAAGAAUACUGAUAAAACUAAUAAUAGAGCUAAUGUUACUGAACACUGUGUCCCAUGCACUGCUUUAAGCAUUCUUUAUGCAUCCAUUCAUUCAGGCCUCACAUUUGCCCUGUGAAGCAGGCACUAUUAAUAUCCCCAUUUUACAACUGACAAAACUGAGGCAGAGAAAGAGUAAGUAACUUGCCCGAGGUCACACAGCUUAUAGAUAGUAGAGUUGGCAGAUAAGGGAGUGAUCUCUGAGCACCUAAAGAAAUUGCUCUCAUAAAGAAGUCAUAGGGCCAGGAAACUGCUGCCCUAUACAAGAGAGAUCUGGGGACAGCAACCUGUGAUAAACUUGAUUUGUAACUUGGGCUCUUAGUCCACAUGGUUGGAGCACUCAUUGUGCACCUACCAUGUGCUAUGAAUGCAUACUGAGGUAAGCCCUGAGAAUUUGGCAGGGACAAAAAAAUAGUCCCAGAACUUAUAUUCCAGUGUGGAGAAAAGACAAUGCACAAGUGAGCAAACAAUGCAAGUGAUUUCAGGUGACAAAAAGGGGCUAUAGGGCAGAGAUAACAGGGUAGUGCGAUGGGCAGUGACAGGCAGAGGGGUGGUGUCUCUCUAGACAAAGUGGUCAGGGAAGGCCUUGCUGAGAAGAUGCCAGGUGACACCAACAGUGAGAAAGCAACUGAGCCAUGAUCUUGGGAAGAUGGCUCUAAGAAGAGGGGAGAGUUGUACAAAGGCCCCGAGGCAGGGGCAACCUUGGGGUGUUCACAGAACACAGACAGGAGAUGCUGCAUCGUUCUGAGUGAGCAGGAAGAGAUGAGAAUGGAGACAGAUGUUUCUAGAAGCCCAGGCCCCAUAGGGCCUUAUGGGCUGUACAAUAAGUUGGAAUUUCAUCUUGAAUUGAUGGGA